rnacentral:rRNA from 1 species
UACAGAGGGUGCAAACGUUGUUCGGAAUUACUGGGCAUAAAGAGCACGUAGGCGGCUCAUCAAGUCACGCGUGAAAUCCCCCGGCUCAACCGGGGAACUGCGCCUGAUACUGGUGGGCUAGAGGACGGUAGGGGUGAGUGGAACUCUAGGUGGAGCGGUGAAAUGCGUAGAUAUCUAGAGGAACACCGGUGGCGAAAGCGGCUCACUGGACCGUAACUGACGCUGAGGUGAGAAAGCUAGGGUAGCAAACGGG